rnacentral:rRNA from 1 species
GACGAACGCUGGCGGCGUGCUUAACACAUGCAAGUCGAACGGACGAGUGAGAUAAGUUUACUUAACUCACAAGUUAGUGGCGGACGGGUGAGUAACACGUGGAUAAUCUACCUGCAACACCGGGAUAACGCUGUGAAAACGGUGCUAAUACCGGAUACGUUCCCUUGUGCGCAUGUAUGAGGGAAGAAAGCUCAGGCGGUUGCAGAUGAGUCCGCGGCUGAUUAGCUAGUUGGUGAGGUAAAGGCUCACCAAGGCGAUGAUCAGUAGCCGGCCUGAGAGGGUGAACGGCCACACUGGGACUGAGACACGGCCCAGACUCCUACGGGAGGCAGCAGUGGGGAAUCUUCCGCAAUGGGCGCAAGCCUGACGGAGCAACGCCGCGUGGGUGAAGAAGGCCUUCGGGUUGUAAGACCUCGUCUUAUUGGAAGGAAGUACAGUGACGGUACCGACUAGGAGGAAGGACCGACGGCCGUAACUAACCGUUACGCCACGCAGCCGCCGGUAAAACGGUAACGUACUUA